rnacentral:rRNA from 1 species
UACGUAGGGGGCAAGCGUUGUCCGGAUUUAUUGGGCGUAAAGAGCGUGUAGGCGGCCAGGGAGGUCCGUUGUGAAAACUCGAGGCUCAACCUCGAGACGCCGAUGGAAACCCCCUGGCUAGAGUCCGGAAGAGGAGAGUGGAAUUCCUGGUGUAGCGGUGAAAUGCGCAGAUAUCAGGAAGAACACCCGUGGCUAAGGCGGCUCUCUAGUACGGUACUGACGCUGAGACGCGAAAGCGUGGGGAGCGAACAGGG